AGUGAACGCUGGCGGUAGGCCUAACACAUGCAAGUCGAACGGCAGCACAGUAAGAGCUUGCUCUUACGGGUGGCGAGUGGCGGACGGGUGAGGAAUACAUCGGAAUCUACUUUUUCGUGGGGGAUAACGUAGGGAAACUUACGCUAAUACCGCAUACGACCUACGGGUGAAAGCAGGGGAUCUUCGGACCUUGCGCGAUUGAAUGAGCCGAUGUCGGAUUAGCUAGUUGGCGGGGUAAAGGCCCACCAAGGCGACGAUCCGUAGCUGGUCUGAGAGGAUGAUAAGCCACACUGGAACUGAGACACGGUCAAGACUCCUAAGGGAGGCAGCAGUGGGGAAUAUUGGACAAUGGGCGCAAGCCUGAUCCAGCCAUACCGCGUGGGUGAAGAAGGCCUUCGGGUUGUAAAGCCCUUUUGUUGGGAAAGAAAAGCAGCAGGUUAAUACCACGCUGUUCUGACGGUACCCAAAGAAUAAGCACCGGCUAACUUCGUG
rnacentral:rRNA from 1 species